rnacentral:rRNA from 1 species
GACGAACGCUGGCGGCGUGCCUAAUACAUGCAAGUCGAGCGGGCCUCCGGAGGUGCUUGCACCUCCGGAAGGCCAGCGGCGGACGGGUGAGUAACACGUGGGCAACCUGCCUUUGAGGCCGGGAUAACACCGGGAAACCGGUGCUAAUACCGGAUGCGUCCCCUUUCGCGCCUGCGAGAGGGGAGAAAGACGGUCUUUAAGGCCGUCGCUCAAAGAGGGGCCCGCGGCGCAUUAGCUGGUUGGUGGGGUAAGGGCCUACCAAGGCGACGAUGCGUGGCCGACCUGAGAGGGUGAUCGGCCACACUGGGACUGAGACACGGCCCAGACUCCUGCGGGAGGCAGCAGUAGGGAAUCAUCCGCAAUGGGCGAAAGCCUGACGGUGCAACGCCGCGUGAGUGAGGAAGGUUUUCGGAUCGUAAAGCUCUGUUGUGAGGGAAGAACAGCUUCCGGAGGAAAUGCCGGAGGUUUGCCGGUACCUCACCAGAAAGCCCCGGCUAACUACGUGCCAGCCGCCGCCGUAAUAC